rnacentral:rRNA from 1 species
UACGAAGGACCCAAGCGUUAUCCGGAUUUAUUGGGUUUAAAGGGUGCGUAGGCGGACUUGUAAGUCAGUGGUGAAAUCCUGCGGCUUAACUGCAGAACUGCCAUUGAAACUGCUUGUCUUGAGUACAUUUGAAGCGGGCGGAAUGUGUCAUGUAGCGGUGAAAUGCAUAGAUAUGACACAGAACACCGAUUGCGAAGGCAGCUCGCUAAACUGUAACUGACGCUGAGGCACGAAAGCGUGGGUAGCAAACAGGAUUAGAUACCCUGGUAGUCCACGCCCUAAACGAUGAUCACUCGAUGUGUGCGAUACACAGCACGCGUCUAAGCGAAAGCAUUAAGUGAUCCACCUGGGAAGUACGACCGCAAGGUUGAA